rnacentral:rRNA from 1 species
UGAGUAACCUGCCCUUCACUCUGGGAUAACUCCGGGAAACCGGGGCUAAUACUGGAUAUGACUCGAACAGGCAUCUGUUUCGGGUGGAAAGAUUUAUUGGUGGAAGAUGGACUCGCGGCCUAUCAGCUUGUUGGUGAGGUAAUGGCUCACCAAGGCGACGACGGGUAGCCGGCCUGAGAGGGCGAUCGGCCACACUGGGACUGAGACACGGCCCAGACUCCGUACGGGGAGCA